rnacentral:lncRNA from 10 species
AAACUUUCCAAAAGCAGCAUCUCUGAAGACCCCCUUCUCCCCUUUAACUACUGCCCUCCAGCUCACUCUCAUCUCCUUUCAAAGCAAAGCUCCUUGGAAGAGUCCUAAAUGCUUCCUAUCUGUACUUCUCUGUGUCAGGAUGAAUGUCAGGAUGAAUGUCACCACCACCUGCCUUUUGUCGAAGUCAGAAACCUGGAAUGUUUCAAGGACACCUCCCUCUGUUUCACCCUACAAUGUAAUUAGUCAUGAAGACCUGUCAGUUCUGUUUUCUAAAUGCGUUUUCGUAACUCAGCCUCUCUUCCCUGUUCCCACUGCCAUAACCUGAGCCCAGGCUUUUGUCAUUUAUUGCCUGGGUUACUG